UACGAGGGGGGCGAGCGUUGUUCGGAAUUAUUGGGCGUAAAGGGUGCGUAGGCGGUUUGGUAAGUCUGAUGUGAAAUCUAUGGGCUCAACUCAUAGUCUGCAUCGGAAACUGCCGGUCUUGAGUGUGGGAGAGGUGAGUGGAAUUCCUGGUGUAGCGGUGAAAUGCGUAGAUAUCAGGAGGAACACCUGUGGCGAAAGCGGCUCACUGGACCAUAACUGACGCUGAUGCACGAAAGCUAGGGGAGCAAACAGG
rnacentral:rRNA from 1 species